rnacentral:rRNA from 1 species
GCGGAAGGCCCUUCGGGGUACUCGAGCGGCGAACGGGUGAGUAACACGUGAGCAACCUGCCCCAAGCUUUGGGAUAACCCUCGGAAACGGGGGCUAAUACCGAAUAGGACUUCUGGCCGCAUGGCUGGUGGUGGAAAGUUUUUCGGCUUGGGAUGGGCUCGCGGCCUAUCAGCUUGUUGGUGGGGUGAUGGCCUACCAAGGCGACGACGGGUAGCCGGCCUGAGAGGGCGACCGGCCACACUGGGACUGAGACACGGCCCAGACUCCUACGGGAGGCAGCAGUGGGGAAUAUUGCACAAUGGGCGGAAGCCUGAUGCAGCGACGCCGCGUGAGGGAUGACGGCCUUCGGGUUGUAAACCUCUUUCAGCAGGGACGAAGCGAGAGUGACGGUACCUGCAGAAGAAGCACCGGCCAACUACGUGCCAGCAGCCGCGGUAAGACGUAGGGUGCGAGCGUUGUCCGGAUUUAUUGGGCGUAAAGAGCUCGUAGGCGGCUUGUCGCGUCGACCGUGAAAACUUGGGGCUCAACCCCAAGCCUGCGGUCGAUACGGGCAGGCUAGAGUUCGGUAGGGGAGACUGGAAUUCCUGGUGUAGCGGUGAAAUGCGCAGAUAUCAGGAGGAACACCGGUGGCGAAGGCGGGUCUCUGGGCCGAUACUGACGCUGAGGAGCG